rnacentral:tRNA from 1 species
AGGUGUAUAGCUCAAUCGGCAAGAGUGGCGGUCUCCAAAACCGUUGGUUGAGGGUUCGAGUCCUUCUGCACCUG